rnacentral:rRNA from 1 species
GACGAACGCUGGCGGCGUGCCUAAUACAUGCAAGUCGAGCGCAGGAAACUGACGGAACUCUUCGGAGGGAAGGCAGUGGAAUGAGCGGCGGACGGGUGAGUAACACGUAAGGAACCUGCCUCAAGGAUUGGGAUAACUCCGAGAAAUCGGAGCUAAUACCGGAUAGUUCAACGGACCGCAUGGUCCGCUGAUGAAAGGCGCUUCGGCGUCACCUUGAGAUGGCCUUGCGGUGCAUUAGCUAGUUGGUGGGGUAACGGCCCACCAAGGCGACGAUGCAUAGCCGACCUGAGAGGGUGAUCGGCCACCCUGGGACUGAGACACGGCCCAGACUCCUACGGGAGGCAGCAGUAGGGAAUCUUCCACAAUGGACGAAAGUCUGAUGGAGCAACGCCGCGUGAGUGAUGGAGGUUUUCGGAUCGUAAAACUCUGUUGUAAGGGAAGAACACGUACGAGAGGGAAUGCUCGUACCUUGACGGUACCUUACGAGAAAGCCACGGCUAACUACGUGCCAGCCGCCGCGGUAA